CGCAUAAUAUUAAUUAUUGCAUGAUAAUUGAUUGAAAGAUGCAAGCGCAUCACUAGUAGAUGGACCUGCGUUGUAUUAGCUAGUUGGUAAGGUAAGAGCUUACCAAGGCGACGAUACAUAGCCGACCUGAGAGGGUGAUCGGCCACACUGGGACUGAGACACGGCCCAGACUCCUACGGGAGGCAGCAGUAGGGAAUCUUCGGCAAUGGACGAAAGUCUGACCGAGCAACGCCGCGUGAGUGAAGAAGGUCUUCGGAUCGUAAAGCUCUGUUGUAAGUCAAGAACGUGUGUGAGAGUGGAAAGUUACACAGUGACGUAGCUACCAGAAAGGCG
rnacentral:rRNA from 1 species